rnacentral:rRNA from 1 species
GAUGAACGCUGGCGGCGUGCCUAAUACAUGCGAGUCGAGCGAACGGACGAGAAGCUUGCUUCUCUGAUGUUAGCGGCGGACGGGUGAGUAACACGUGGAUAACCUGCCUAUAAGACUGGGAUAACUUCGGGAAACCGGAGCUAAUACCGGAUAAUAUUUUGAACCGCAUGGUUCAAAAGUGAAAGACGGUCUUGCUGUCACUUAUAGAUGGAUCCGCGCUGCAUUAGCUAGUUGGUAAGGUAACGGCUUACCAAGGCAACGAUGCAUAGCCGACCUGAGAGGGUGACUGCACAAAUGGGGACAGGGAUACGGCACAGACUCCUACGGGAGGCAGAAGUGGGGAAUAUUGCAAAAUGGGCUGAAGCCUGAUGCAGAAAGGCCGCGUGCGUGAUGACGGCCGUCGGGUUGUAAACCGAUUUCGCCUGGGACGAAGAGGGAGUGACGGUAAUGGGUAAAGAAGCACAGGCUAACUACGUG